UACAGAGGGUGCAAGCGUUGUUCGGAUUUACUGGGCGUAAAGGGCGCGUAGGCGGUCAGCACAAGUCAGUUGUGAAAUCUCCGGGCUUAACUCGGAAAGGUCAACUGAUACUGUGCGACUGGAGUGCAGAAGGGGCAACUGGAAUUCUCGGUGUAGCGGUGAAAUGCGUAGAUAUCGAGAGGAACACCUGCGGCGAAGGCGGGUUGCUGGGCUGACACUGACGCUGAUGCGCGAAAGCCAGGGGAGCGAACGGG
rnacentral:rRNA from 1 species